UACGUAGGGGGCAAGCGUUAUCCGGAAUUAUUGGGCGUAAAGCGCACGCAGGCGGUUUGCCAAGUUUGGAGUGACAGUUGUUGGCUCAACCGAUAAAGGACUUCAAAAACUGGCAGACUUGAGAACGAGAGAGGAACAUGGAACUCCAGGUGUAGUAGUGAAAUGCGUAGAUAUCUGGAAGAACACCAAAGGCGAAGGCAAUGUUCUGGCUCGUUUCUGACGCUCAGGUGCGAAAGCCAGGGGAGCGAACGGG
rnacentral:rRNA from 1 species